CGGUUUUAAGUUGAAUAACAGAUUGUCUUAGAGAUCCAAUUUGUGAUGCUUGUAGGUACAACUAAAAUCAAGAGUUUCAACACUUGGAUGCUUUUGUGGUGCCCAAGAGAUUGUUCAUGUAGAGGUAUACAAAAGUGUUUUCUAGUCUCCAUUUUAUUUGGGUUGGUAUUAUCGAUUUCACUCCUAAUUUUUAUUAUUAUUGCAGGAGCAGUUGAGCACAGUUGCUUGAAGUAGCAACGAUUAUUAUAGUAACCAAACAAGCAUCAAAAGCUAGUGACACACCUUUACACAUUAUAACCUUUAAUUCCUUUUAAAGUUGUAAUAUUUGAAUCGAACUUUACUCUUUUCAUCGGGAUAAUUGAACUCAAUAACACCAAUGCAGGAUGCUCUUUAUCUUUCUCAACAAAGAUUGCAUGUGUUGGUAAUGUAUAUAUGUCAUGCAUUUUGAAUAAGAACUUGGUUUUUAUGUUGGAUAUAAGCUUAUGUCAAUGUCUC
rnacentral:lncRNA from 1 species